rnacentral:rRNA from 1 species
AUUGAACGCUAGCGGUAUGCUUUACACAUGCAAGUCGAACGAUAUAUUAAAGCUUGCUUUAAUAUAAAGUGGCAAACGGGUGAGUAAUAUAUCAGAACAUGCCUUCAAGUGGGGGAUAACUAAUUGAAAAAUUAGAUAAUACCGCAUAUUAAAUCUUAGGAUGAAAAUAGGAAUAUAUAUUCUUAUGCUUUUAGAUUGGCUGAUAUCUGAUUAGUUAGUUGGUAAGGUAAAAGCUUACCAAGACUAUGAUCAGUAGCUGAUUUUAGCGAAUGAUCAGCCACACUGGAACUGAGACACGGUCCAGACUUCUACGGAAGGCAGCAGUGGGGAAUAUUGGACAAUGGGAGAAAUCCUGAUCCAGCAAUACCGCGUGAGUGAUGAAGGCUUUAGGGUCGUAAAACUCUUUUGUUAAGAAAGAAAUAAUUUUAAAUAAUAUUUAAAAUUGAUGACGGUACUUAAAGAAUAAGCACCGGCUAACUACGUGCCAGCAGCCGCGGUAAUACGUAGGGUGCAAGCGUUAAUCGGAAUUAUUGGGCGUAAAGAGUGCGUAGGCGGUUAUAUAAGAUAGAUGUGAAAUACUUAAGCUUAACUUAAGAACUGCAUUUAUUACUGUAUAACUAGAGUUUAUUAGAGAGGAGUGGAAUUUUAUGUGUAGCAGUGAAAUGCGCAGAUAUAUAAAGGAAUAUCAAUGGCGAAGGCAGCUCCUUGGGAUAAUACUGACGCUGAGGCACGAAAGCGUGGGGAGCAAACAGGAUUAGAUACCCUGGUAGUCCACGCCCUAAACUAUGUCUACUAGUUAUUAGAUUAAAUAAAAUUUAGUAACGUAGCAAACGCAUUAAGUAGACCGCCUGGGGAGUACGAUCGCAAGAUUAAAACUCAAAGGAAUGGACGGGGACCCGCACAAGCGCUGGAUGAUGUGGAUUAAUUCGAUGCAACACGAAAAACCUUACCUACUCUCUGACAUGUUUGGAAUUUUAAAGAAAUUUAAAAGUGCUUGAAAAAGAACCAAAACACAGGUGCUGCAUGGCUGUCGUCAGCUCGUGUCGUGAGAUGUUGGGUUAAGUCCCGCAACGAGCGCAACCCUUGUUAUUAUUUGCUAAAAAAAGAACUUUAAUAAGACUGCCAAUGACAAAUUGGAGGAAGGUGGGGAUGACGUCAAGUCCUCAUGGCCCUUAUGAGUAGGGCUUCACACGUCAUACAAUGAUAUAUACAAUGGGUAGCAAAUUUGCAAAAAUGAGCCAAUCCUUAAAAUAUAUCUUAGUUCGGAUUGUAGUCUGCAACUCGACUACAUGAAGUUGGAAUCGCUAGUAAUCGCGGAUCAGCAUGCCGCGGUGAAUACGUUCUCGGGUCUUGUACACACCGCCCGUCACACCAUGGAAGUGAUUUUUGCCAGAAAUUAUUUGUUUAACCUUUAUUGGAUAACUAUAAUUAAGGUAGAAUUCAUGA